rnacentral:miRNA from 1 species
AAGAAAGCUGUGGGAGAACAU